CCUACGGGUGGCAGCAGUGGGGAAUAUUGCACAAUGGGGGAAACCCUGAUGCAGCGACGCCGCGUGGGUGAGGAAGUACUUCGGUAUGUAAAGCCCUAUCAGCAGAGAAGAAAAUGACGGUACCUGACUAAGAAGCCCCGGCUAACUACGUGCAAGCAGCCGCGGUAAUACGUAGGUGGCAAGCGUUAUACGGAUUUACUGGGUGUAAAGGGGGCGUAGACGGCGUGCCAAGUCUGAUGUGAAAGGCAGGGGCUCAACCCCGGGACUGCAUUUGAAACUGGCAUGCUGGAGUGCCGGAGGGGCAAGCGGAAUUCCUGGUGUAGCGGUGAAAUGCUUAGAGAUUAGGAGGAACACCGGUGGCGAAGGCGGCUUGCUGGACGGUAACUGACGUUGAGGCUCGAAAGCGUGGGGAGCAAACAGGAUUAGAUACCCCAGUAGUC
rnacentral:rRNA from 1 species